rnacentral:rRNA from 1 species
AUGUGGAGGAGGGUCGGAGAAGUGAGCGCCUUGGCCGGAGAUGUGGAGGAGGGCAAGGAGAUGGUUGGAAGCACUCGCCUGAGAUGUGCGCAGCGGCGGCGCCGCACACAGGAGGACGGACAGGGAAAGAGCGAUUUAGGUGCACGGGAGCACGUGAAGGGAGGAGAUGAUGAAACAGCCGACCUGCUGGAUGCGUGGGGCCGGAGAACCAAAGUAGCAUCAAGAAUAAUAGAUCUUCCCCGCAGCUGGGCGACUAUUUCAUCACACGCAAGAGCUUCCGCGCUUGGCCGAACACCGGGGCUCCUCGACUGCGCGGAGUCUUGGGUACAUAAGGAUCUCAUGUCACAAUCUGAAAAAGAAGAAUACAGGGCUGGGCUGCUGGGCCCCCGUCAGAUUGCGGCCCUUGCCAGAUACGGCAUAGUUCAGCAACUCGGAAAAAGAGAUAGCACAGCUCCUGUUGGCGUGUGGCCCACCCUCUGUCCACCGUUUCUCCUGGUUGCACAGGUGGACAAUCUUUCUGAAGUUCAGCUUGGCCAGGCUCCACCUUUAUUUCUUUUAUAUAGUUUGGUUGACGAACUGGCCUAUUGUGCAAGUUAUCUCGCGGUUGUGAGCUGCUAUUGUUACUUCCUGCCUGACAAUUGGUUCAGGAGCUGCUUAUUAUUCAAAAGUCUGUUCUUUCUUGGUGUUUCUGCUCCAGCUGUUGAGACUAGCAACAAAAACAAGAGGCACGGGAGCAAUAGCCCUCAUGAAACAAGAAGAGGAAUUGUCAGUUUUAAACCAGCUAAGCUCAACAUACAUGAAUUUGCUGGAGAAGAUACUCAACACUGGAUACAAAUAAUUGAACAAUACUUUGACACUGCUAUAACACCUCUUGAGCAAAGAACUGAAUUUGAUGCCUCUUAUCUGAAAGGAACUGUAGUCCAGUGGUGGAGAGGCACAACCUUUAAUUCUCAAACUCAUCCUUGGCACAGAUUCUGCAGAUAUCUAGGAGACAGAUUUGCAGAAAGUUCUAUUUGCGACAGUGUGAAGAAUUUUCAUGUCAUUCAAAUUGAAAUACCUGCCCACUCGUCCCCUCGUCUCCACCUCCGGCGGCGGCACGGCCUCUCCCUCGCCCAAGCUGCCAACGGCGCGGCGCUGACCGGCUUAGCCCGUGGCCCUACCAUAGUUAACGUGGCGCAUGCCUCCUCCUUCUCCACCUCCGGCGCCGUCCUCUCCCUCAACCACGUGGCUAAAAGCAUGGCGCGGAUCGCGCCUACAGCAGCCGGCGUUGGCGAUGCACACGCCUCUCAGCUCGUCCCCUACUCCUCCACCUCCGCUCGUCGAGCAGCUGCUUUGUCCAGUGGCGCCGGAGCGUUGCCCACAUCCGGGUAG